rnacentral:misc_RNA from 1 species
UACGGAGGGUGCGGGCGUUACUCGGAAUUACUGGGCGUAAAGCGCGCGUAGGCGGCAAGGUAAGUUGGGUGUGAAAGCCCCGGGCUCAACCUGGGAAUUGCAUUCAAAACUGGCUAGCUCGAGUACAGCAGAGGAUAGUGGAAUUUCCGGUGUAGCGGUGAAAUGCGUAGAGAUCGGAAGGAACACCAGUGGCGAAGGCGACUGGCUGGGCUGAUACUGACGCUGAGGUGCGAAAGCGUGGGGAGCAGACAGG